rnacentral:rRNA from 1 species
CCUACGGGAGGCUGCAGUGGGGAAUAUUGGUCAAUGGGCGCGAGCCUGAACCAGCAAAGUCGCGUGAAGGAUGACUGCCCUACGGGUUUUAAACUUCUUUUCUGAAGGAAUGAAGUAAGGCACGUGUGCAUUUUUGUCUGUACUUUAUGAAUAAGGAUCGGCUAACUCCGUGCGAGCAGCCGAGGUAAUACGGAGGUUCCAAGCGUUAUCCGGAGUUAUUGGGUGUAAAGGGAGCGUAGAGGGGUUGUUAAGUCAGGUGUGAAAGUUUGCGGCUCAACCGUAAAAUUGCAUUUGAUACUGGCAGUCUUGAGUACAGGAGAGGUAGGCGGAAUUCGUGGUGUAGCGGUGAAAUGCUUAGAUAUCACGAGGAACUCCGAUGGCGAAGGCAGCUUACUAAACUGCCACUGACAUUGAUGCUCGAAAGUGUGGGGAGCAAACAGGAUUAGAUACCCCAGUAGUC